rnacentral:rRNA from 1 species
AACGAACGCUGGCGGCGCGCCUAAUACAUGCAAGUCGAGCGAGAAGGUGUAGCAAUACACUUGUAAAGCGGCGAACGGGUGAGGAAUACAUGGGUAAUCUACCAUCGAGUGGGGAAUAACCAACCGAAAGGUUGGCUAAUACCGCAUACGCCCUAAGGGGGAAAGGCGCAAGUCGCUAUAAGAUGAGCCCGCGUCUGAUUAGGUAGUUGGUGGGGUAAAGGCCUACCAAGCCGACGAUCAGUAGCUGGUCUGAGAGGAUGAUCAGCCACGUCGGGACUGAGACACGGCCCGGACUCCUACGGGAGGCAGCAGUCGGGAAUAUUGGACAAUGGGGGAAACCCUGAUCCAGCAAUACCGCGUGUGUGAAGAAGGCCUGCGGGUUGUAAAGCACUUUCAGUUGGGAAGAUAAUGACGUUACCAACAGAAGAAGCACCGGCUAACUCCGUG